rnacentral:rRNA from 1 species
GACGAACGCUGGCGGCGUGCUUAACACAUGCAAGUCGAGCGGUAAGGCCCUUCGGGGUACACGAGUGGCGAACGGGUGAGUAACACGUGGGUGAUCUGCCCUGCACUUCGGGAUAAGCCUGGGAAACUGGGUCUAAUACCGGAUAGGACUCCGGACUGCAUGGUCUGGGGUGGAAAGCUUUUGCGGUGUGGGAUGGGCCCGCGGCCUAUCAGCUUGUUGGUGGGGUGAUGGCCUACCAAGGCGACGACGGGUAGCCGGCCUGAGAGGGUGACCGGCCACACUGGGACUGAGAUACGGCCCAGACUGCUACGGGAGGCAGCAGUGGGGAAUAUUGCACAAUGGGCGCAAGCCUGAUGCAGCGACGCCGCGUGAGGGAUGACGGCCUUCGGGUUGUAAACCUCUUUCAGCACAGACGAAGCGCAAGUGACGGUAUGUGCAGAAGAAGGACCGGCCAACUACGUGCCAGCAGCAGCCGCCG